GAAGUGGAAAACUCAUUUUUGAAUUAAUAGAAAAAGUGAAAUUGACUUCGAAUUGUUUGUAAGAAGAAUCAAUGCCAAGUUCUAUAAAAUCACAUUAAAAGACAUCAUGAUGUUAAAUAACGCACCACAAACAAAGACCGAUACAAUUCCAAAUAGUAAAAGAACAACAAAAAGAUUACAAAUAUUACAAUAAAAAUCUCCAAAAAAUUCCAAUCAAUUUUUUCAACUAUGACUUGAAAAUGUUAUACUUAACCCUAAAACCCCUCAAUUGGGUUCAAAGUUGUUCAUCCUUGUUUGAUUGUGAAUGAGUCAAAUUGCGAAACCAUCUGAUGAUCGCAGUUGCCGCGGAUCAUCCGAUCAAGGCUUCGACGGUGCGGAAAUUUGAGUCUGCGGGAUCCGGAAGCAUGAUCGGUUCAUUGCUCUCGCACUGCAUGACGCUGAAAACCAAGCUAGCUGCUGCGAGAGAAAGGCAUCGUGAUCAGUUUCGUCGACUUUGUGCACAAUUGUGAAGCACGCAGUCCGUCUCCAUGAUUCCCCUUGGAAGAGAAUAGAUGAGAAAUCCGACUGGUCACCAAUAUCCCGUCGAAGCGUGGAUGACGUUAUGAAAGCGUUGUCCGAACACUAGGUUUGUUAGGCGCCCGAAGAAUCGCCACGGGCCUCAGAUUUAGCUUCACCAUAUCCGAACAUUAGGCUUAGGGCUCAUAUGCGGCUAUGUCAACCACUUUUGUGGACAGAGCUCACGACCACCUCGGCACACUCUCCAUGGCAAAAUCAAGAUGAACGGUGAAGGUCGUCUUUAUGCUCUUCCGUGCAACAUCUGUACCAGAAGCUUCCAAGUGUGAUUUUCUGUCGUCUUGCUGACGCGAAUCUUCGAAUAUUUGUUUCUGGCACGAAAAUACCUAUUUGCAACGAACUAAAAGUUUGAAUCGGGAAUCAUGGAACUCAUGAAAUUUCGGAGAGGAGUAGCGAGAAGAUGCGAAGAGCUUGGUAGCUUAAAACUUGAAGCAACGUCCGCGUCUAAAAAAGCCCUGUAAUCGAUCGAACAUUGCUAAUCAUCUCAGAGCCAUGCUGAACCUCAAGAAGUUCUACAUAACGGCUCCACACACCCGCACUGCUACCGCCUCGAACUCAUCACAACUGGGGGUGGAUUUCUAUCCUGAUUGCGAAAUUUCCGUGUAAAAUCGAGCUACCACCGGAUCUGUCGAUAGGAAAGUCCGGUCAGGGCAACAACGCAGCACAGGUCUCCGCUUAAGAAACAAAAAAUCCACGCAAAGGAGGUGUCUGUCCCUACCACCUGACUAAAAUCACACAGAGUCCAAUUCCGUAUUCAAAACCAAGCUUCGCUUUCCCGUUGUCCUUACACUCGUCCUCUGUCUUGCUGAAGCCAUCUCCUCCUUGGAUUUCUUUAACAUCACUCGGAUGCGAUGGAAUCACCUUUGCAAUUGGAGCCUGUACACCCGUUGAUCAAUGCGAGCCGGCAGAUCAAAUUCCAAAAGCCUCAGAGCUAUGCACAGAAAUGGUGUAGCUCACGCUCAGAGAGCACCUGCGGUUUCGCCAAGCCAAGAAUUUCCAUGGAAACAGGCUGGAUAACAAUUCAUCGCACUGAAUUAAAAACAAAUCCUGUUCCGAAUUAGGUUUGAGCGUUCCAGACGGAGAUGCCCACUGCUGCAUCAUCUAUCACGUUUAGAAUUUUAGGGUUUGACAGGAUGAGCGGCAACAGGAGCCAGAUGCAUAAGCUGGCGAUUGUGGAGGGGACUCAUUGAAAGUGUUGCACUGUGAAAAAGGACGUGUGAAUUAAGAGAUGAGUUUUUCCUCGAACUCUUUUAAUGUAAAAGAGCGUUUGAUUUAUUUUAUUUUAUUUUAUUUGUGUGUGUGUGUAAGUGUGUGGUGCUAUUUUGUAAGGUACGGUUUGUUUGUUUUGUUUUGUUUUGUUUUUUUUCUUGACUGAACGCAUUUUUAAUAUUGCUGAACACAAGUUUAAUCCAUAAUAAUAUUUAUAAUUUACAUAAAUUAA